ensembl:lincRNA
UUUCCCUCAGAGCGCGCAGGCAGCCGGUUUAGAGAACUCCGGUGCGCCAGGUUUUUGGAGCCGCCGGGGAGCGCAGGGAGGGAGAGGAGCGCGACACCAGACAGCACGGGGUUCAGCACCGGGAUUGGUCGCAAGUAGGGAGCUUUCGCCACUACACCGGGACCCUCGGACAGUGCCUGCACCGCGCUCUGGAGAGGCUUUCCUCCGCUCUCGGCGCGGAGCUCAGGUGCUGAGCACAGAGGAGAUCUGCGCGGAGGCAGGCGGCUUGGAGCAACCAGGAAGAGAAGGUGUUAGAUUGCUGGCACCGCUGUCUCCAGAUUUGAAGCAAAAAGGCUUGAGGUUGUGUAGGGCGACCGAAUGUGACCCAUCACCUUGGAUGUGUGUUCUGCGUGCAAGAGGUUGGCUGGGAUCUUGGGGUACAUGGGUGGUGGAUUUGUAAGGAGGAGUCCCCGUGAGCAAAGCUCCUGCAACUUUUUGUAGUUUUCCUACUGGAAUCAACAUAGGGGCGGGGACAUGUUUUUCAGGGAAAAAAAAUGUCAUUUAAUUGCAUGGGAAGCUCCUGCAGUCUGCUGUGUUGGGAGCUGGGAAUCUCAAGGAAUAACAGCCACAUGACUCAUUUGUCUGGACACUACUUAGGAUAAUUUGGAAUGUGCUUUUAUUUUUGCAGAUUUGAGAUUUAUGGUUUCUGUUCUUCAGGGAGUAUAAGGUGGGCGAAAAAGAAGUGUGUCAUGGAGCAGGCAGCUAGAGGUGGUUUGGGUGCCAUUCUGGAGAAGAUUCACCUUUCACCCCAUACAUUUAUUCUUGCUGUCUUCUCGUUGAUUUCAUUCAAGACUGUGGAAAUCUCCGCUAUGGGGUUGUGGGAGUUAGAUAAGAUUGGCAGGGAUCAAAAAAAAAAAAAAAAAAAACAAGUUCUGUGAGAAUAUUACUUUUUUGUCUAUCUUGUAAAAAAGGCUAUUGAUUUUGUUCGUUGUUUGUUUAAACUGACUUCACCUGCCCUGUCUGGUUGAGGAAAGAUCAUGAUGAUAAAUCUCAUUAUUUUUUUUUUUUCACUGUGGAUCCUGCCAGUUGGCUAGCAAGCAUGGAAAAUAAAUAAUAAAUAAAAACUGACCUCUUGAAUUGGGGGUUAAAAUGCUAAGAGACUUUACCAGUUGCUUAAAGCUUUAGGUGAGAGCCAUGUGGACGUUUUAACUGAGGUAAUUUUUUUUUUUUUUUAAAUUGCAGUCUGUGAAACCCCUUUCAGUUGGUGCCUGGUGUGUGUAUUUUACACACCUUGGAAGACCUCCGGUGCAAUU